GUGGGGAAUUUUUCGCAAUGGGGGCAACCCUGACGAAGCAACGCCGCGUGGAGGAUGAAGGCCUUCGGGUCGUAAACUCCUGUCGACCGGGACGAAUGUACGCGACCUAAUACGUCGACGUAUUGACGGUACCGGUGGAGGAAGCCACGGCUAACUCUGUGCCAGCAGCCGCGGUAAUACAGAGGUGGCUAGCGUUGUUCGGAAUUACUGGGCGUAAAGGGCGCGUAGGCGGCUUCGUAAGUCCUGUGUGAAAUCCCCCGGCUCAACUGGGGAACUGCACAGGAGACUGCGAGGCUCGAGUUCAGGAGAGGGAAGCGGAAUUCCGGGUGUAGCGGUGAAAUGCGUAGAUAUCCGGAGGAACACCGGUGGCGAAGGCGGCUUCCUGGACUGACACUGACGCUGAGGCGCGAAAGCUAGGGUAGCAAACGGGAUUAGAUACCCGAGUAGUCC
rnacentral:rRNA from 1 species